rnacentral:tRNA from 1 species
AGCCCCGUGGUCUAGCGUCUCCCACCGACCCAACUGGUUGGAGCUAGAUGCCAAUGAUGGCGGGCUCUGGACCCGUUGACGGGAGUUCGAAUCUCCCCGGGGCUACCA